UCCCUUAUGCAACUUGCGUAGCCUCUUUUGUUGUUCGGCGUUGAGUUUUAGCAUGACCAAGUGCCCUACGUUGAACUCCAAGUGCCUCCUCUUCAUGUCGGCCCAUUUCUUCAUCUUCUUGGAGGCCUUGUCAAGGUAUGCACGAGCUAGGUCUGUUUGCUCGUGCCAAGUUUUCGCCGUCUUGAACGCCGCUGGACUCUUCCCCGUAUA
rnacentral:lncRNA from 1 species